rnacentral:rRNA from 1 species
CAACGAAUAUUCCGCAAUGGGCGAAAGCCUGACGGAGCGACGCCGCGUGCAGGAUGAAGUCUUUCGGGAUGUAAACUGCUGUCGGGGGUCAGAAAUUCUGAUCAGCCCCACAGGAAGCCUCGGCUAACUCCGUGCCAGCAGCCGCGGUAAUACGGAGGAGGCAAGCGUUGUUCGGAAUCACUGGGCUUAAAGCGCGUGUAGGCGGGGUGUAGGGUGUUUAGUGAAAGCCCUCGGCUCAACCGAGGAAUGGCUGGGCAAACCGACACUCUUGAGGCAGGCAGAGGUAACCGGAACCUUUGGUGGAGCGGUGAAAUGCGUAGAGAUCAAAGGGAACGCCGGUGGCGAAAGCGGGUUACUGGGCCUGAACUGACGCUGAGACGCGAAAGCGUGGGUAGCAAACA